rnacentral:lncRNA from 1 species
UUUUUUUUUUUUUUUCCAAAGAGAAUAAUAUUAUUAAAGACAAAGGCCAGAGCAUGGAAAUGUUUACAUAAAAAACCUGAGCAUUAAACAACCACUUCGGUUCUAAAAAAUCUCACAUAUGAUAACCCUCUAGCUGCAUGACAUAACUUGCCACCAAAUGCACAGCCCCAUUACAGGAUCGAGGAAUAAAAAGAAACUCAAUUGAACUCAAUUGUUGCUUUAGAUGAUGAAUAUCCCAAAUGACAGCCUCCAUAGAUGCCUCCAGUUGUAAUACACCCGUUAACAUGUCCACCAAAACCUUAGAAUCUGUCUCAAGUUGGAUUAAGCCAUAGCCUUUUUCCACAAAGCCAUAGCCUUUUUCCACACACGCCGACAAACCUGCACGCACUGCUUCUGCUUCCGCCAUCAAACUAAACUCACAAAACACCUUCCCCACUCCACCGGCUCUUUUAAAAAUCCCAGCAAAAUCUCUAGUAACCCAUCCACAACCUCCCCUUCCCGUUUGCUUACACCAAGUGACCAAGCACCAUCAAAAUUCACUUUAAUUGUCUGAAAAGGAGGCUUCACCCAUGCCCCCCGAGUCCCCUCACCCCCUCACCCCCAACCUGACGUGA